rnacentral:rRNA from 1 species
GGACUACUCGGGUAUCUAAUCCUGUUCGCUCCCCACGCUUUCGCGUCUCAGCGUCAGUACCGUCCCAGAGAGCCGCCUUCGCCACGGGUGUUCUUCCCGAUAUCUGCGCAUUUCACCGCUACACCGGGAAUUCCACUCUCCUCUUCCGGACUCUAGCCAAGUGGUUUCAACCGACGGCUCGAGGUUGAGCCUCGAGUUUUCACAGCUGACCUACCAGGCCGCCUACACGCUCUUUACGCCCAAUAAAUCCGGACAACGCUUGCCCCCUACGUAUUACCGCGGCUGCUGGCAC